rnacentral:sRNA from 1 species
CGUUGCAGGUACUGACAUUGUGCAGUGGCUUAUGAAGAACCUUUCCAUUGAGGACCCAGUUGAAGCAAUACACUUGGGAAGCCUUAUCGCUGCCCAGGGCUACAUCUUUCCGAUCUCGGACCAUGUUCUCACCAUGAAGGAUGAUGGCACCUUUUAUCGUUUCCAGGCUCCGUACUUCUGGCCUUCGAACUGCUGGGAACCUGAAAACACUGACUAUGCCAUCUAUCUCUGUAAGAGGACAAUGCAAAAUAAAGCAAGGCUGGAACUGGCAGAUUAUGAAGCACUCCCCACUGGAAGACGAGUCCUGAGAAAUCCAGCCUUGGUUUUGCGCCUGGAGAUACCAACAGGUGGCAAAGACUCAUUAAUUCCCCAAUAGCCACAGACAAUUUUCCCUAUUUUCAGCAACCUUUGCAACAAGUGCUGUGUGAGUUGCAUUCUUGUAAAACACAUAUGAAGAGAGGAAUCAGGUGAACCAUAGAGACCUCAGACUUAAUGGGAAAACUUAGCAAGACUCCAGAGGGCCUUUGCAAGGAAGUGGGAAUUCAUCUUUAUGCAAGCAGAAGCACAAGUAAAGAUUGACCGGAAAAAAGACAAGACAGAAAGGAAAAUUUUGGAUAGUCAAGAACGAGCCUUUUGGGAUGUCCACAGGCCUGUGCCAGGCUGUGUGAACACAACAGAAAUGGAUAUCCGAAAAUGUCGACGUUUGAAGAAUCCACAAAAGGUUAAAAAGUCCGUGUAUGGCGUGACUGAAGAGUCCCAGGCACAGAGCCCGGUGCAUGUACUCAGCCAACCAAUCAGGAAAACAACAAAAGAGGACAUCCGGAAACAGAUAACAUUUUUGAACGCACAGAUUGACAGACAUUGUUUGAAAAUGUCCAAAGUGGCUGAAAGGU